GAUAGUCCAGUUCGCUGCGUGUAGAGUAUCAUCGUGCCAUUCAAAAUUAUUAUUAAAUCAAAAAUAUGUGUAGACACACAUGGCAAAAAUUUAUGUAGUUUCACAUAUAACACCUAUAUGGAGAAUGAACUUGUGAAUAUCAACAACCAAAACAAGUCAGACACGAGGCAACCAUUUUGCAGAAACAACAAAACGCUAACUUUUCGCAGGUUUUUCGUUUGCAGAUGGAAUAUGGAACAAUGAGAAUGUGCGUCGAAAGCAUAUUUCAAGCUACAUGUCGAGUUACAUGUACUCCUUCAAUCGAUACCGUUCCUGGAGGAAUCUAAAACACA